GUAAGGAGUUUUCGGCAAUGGGGGGAACCCUGACCGAGCAACGCCGCGUGAGUGAUGACGGCCCUAUGGGUUGUAAAGCUCUGUUAUAAGGGACGAACAGCUUUGCUAGGAAAUGAGCAGAGUCUGACGGUACUUUAUCAGAAAGCCACGGCUAACUACGUGCCAGCAGCCGCGGUAAUACGUAGGUGGCAAGCGUUAUCCGGAAUUAUUGGGCGUAAAGAGUGAGCAGGCGGCAGAUUAAGUUUGAGGUUAAAGCGUGGGGCUCAACCCCAUAAAGCCUUGAAAACUGAUCAGCUAGAGUACGAGAGAUGUGAAGGGAACUCCAUGUGUAGCGGUGAAAUGCGUAGAUAUAUGGAAGAACACCAGUGGCGAAGGCGCUUCACAAGCUCGAAACUGACGCUCAGUCACGAAAGCGUGGGUAGCAAAUAGGAUUAGAUACCCGUGUAGUCC
rnacentral:rRNA from 1 species